rnacentral:tRNA from 4 species
GGGCCGUUAACUCAGUCUGGUAGAGUAUCUGCCUUUUAAGCAGAGAGUCGAAGGUUCAAGUCCUUCACGGCCCA